UCUAACUAAGGGCGAGCGGACGCGUGAAUAGUGAGGUGGUGAGGCGUGUUCGGAUGUAGUGGGCGUAAAGCGAUCGGAUGCGGUUCCUGAAGUCGGAGGGUAAAGCCCACGGCUCAACCGUGGAAGGUCAUUGGAAACUGGGGAACUUGAGUGCAGAAGAGGAGAGUGGAAUUCCAUGUGUAGCGGGUAAAUGCGUAGAUAUAUGGAGGAACACCAGUGGCGAAGGCGACUCUCUGGUCUGUAACUGACGCUGAGGCUCGAAAGCGUGGGGAGCAAACAGGAUUAGAUACCCCUGUAGUC
rnacentral:rRNA from 1 species